rnacentral:rRNA from 1 species
AACGAACGCUGGCGGCAGGCUUAACACAUGCAAGUCGAGCGCCCCGCAAGGGGAGCGGCAGACGGGUGAGUAACGCGUGGGAAUCUACCGUACCCUACGGAACAACAGUUGGAGACGACUGCUAAUACCGUAUACGCCCUACGGGGAAAGAUUUAUCGGGGUAUGAUGAGCCCGCGUUGGAUUAGCUAGUUGGUGGGGUA